GACUUUCAUGAACAGAAAUAGUCUCCAUAAUCUAAUCUCCAGAAUGCACUAAACCAGGAGAAGAUCCACCUGGAUAAUUUCGUUGUCAAAGGAAUGGAAGAAUAUUAAGGAGAACAAGUCCUCAUCUCUCCAAAGACCCUUCAUCCUUCAUUUCACAAUAGUCUUUAUUGGAGGCCUCUCCUAUUAAACCCUAUUCUGUUUGAGGAUUAUUAUCCAUCGCCAUUGUAUUUUGAAGAACCUGUCAAAGAGGAGGUCUGCUGGAGUUUGCUGGAGGUCCACUCCAGACCCUGUUUGCCUGGGUAUCACCGGCAGAGGCUGCAGAGCAGCAAAGAUUGCUGCCUGCUCCUUCCUCUGGAAGCUUCAUCCCAAAGGGGCACCCGCCUGAUGCCAGCCAGAGCUCUCCUGUACGAGAUGUUACCUUUUUGACAUAACCAAGUAAACCAACAGGCUUGAAGACACACCGAUCAUAAAAAUGAAUCUAAGAACCCAGGUGUAAUCUUCUGAUUUCUAGGUCCCAGCGCUUCUCAUUUUUAAGCAGAGUUUCAUAGAAAUACUCUAUUCAAACAAACAAACAAAAAAAACAGAAAAGCCACAGACCUCUGUAACAUUUAAGCAGAGGUGUCCUCUUAGUAAAAUGUAAAAUACAUGUGUGAAA
rnacentral:lncRNA from 1 species